rnacentral:lncRNA from 1 species
CUUCAAGCUCGUGGAACAUAACAAUUUAGCUUCAAUAAUGCUUCAAUUUAGCUUCAAGCUAUAAGAGAUUGAAUCAAAAUAUUAAAAGAUGGAAUCAAUACCUAAAAAUAACAAAUAAGAGUUGUCGUCGGCGUCGGAGCGAGCUACGUCGGCGGCAAGAUACGACGGCGUUGGAACAAGCUACGUCGGCGUCAGAUAGCAGAGUCGGAGCGAACAGUUUGUGAAUCCAUUGAGCUGAGAGAGAGCGACGUUGGAGUGAGAGAGAGCGGCGUUGCAGUGAGAGAGAGCGGCGUUGGAGCUGAGAGAGAGUUCAAUCUGAGAUGGGGAGAUUAUUUCAGUUUCUUAUGGUACUUGCAACUAUACAAGUCACAAGACGAAUAAGCAUUUGCACUGUCU